GUGAACUCCCAACACCUGGCACAAGGAUUAAUGGGAUGGCUAACUGGCCAGGAAAGAAAUUUCUCUAAAGAAAGGAAAUUGGGCUGAGAAAUACUUAAUAUGAUUUUGUGAGCUAUGACUUUUUUAAGAUUUCCCUAGGGAUGUAGCCCAGUGGAAGAGUAUUUACCUAGCAUGUGUGAGGCCCUAGGUAAGUUCAAUCCCCAGCACCACAAAAACAAGACUUCCCAGUUGAUUCACUUAUUUUUACAUAUUUAUUUUUGUGCUGCUGGGGAUUGAACCCCACGGCCUUUACCCCUGAGCUACAUCCCAAGCCCCAUGAGUUUUGACUUUUUAAUAACCAUUUUUUCAAAUAUGCCUCAACUGAUUGUAGUUUCUUUUGCCCUGAUGCUUUUGUAUGUUAUAUCUGAUUUAAGUUUUGAUAUGAAAUUAAAGGCAAGAUAAUUCUGGGUAUUACCACCUGCUGAUCCCCUGAGUCUGCCAAGAGCCAAUUGUCUAUCUAUAGUCUGAAGAGUGUUGCCAUGCUCUGAAUUUCAUGCUAGUAAACUAAUUUGUGCUAAGUUUAGGGUGGAGAGAGAACACUGUUAUGCUUAUAUCAUUAAAGAUAUUUGUAAACUUUGGAAGGCUGGGGAAUUGCAGGUAUAUCCCUGCCCCUUUUAUUUUUUAUUUUGAGGCUGGCCUCAAAUUUGUGAUCCUCCUGCCUCAGCCUUCCAAAGUCACUGGAUUUGCAGGCAUGUGCUACCUUGCCUGGCUAAAUGUGUAAAACAGAAAUAUCAAGAUCAAGGAAAUGUUCAGAGUAAAACUUGUGCUGAGUAGUUAGGACCUUCCCAUUUUAGUAUA
rnacentral:lncRNA from 1 species